UUGGAUGCAUCUCCAUGACUGGACACUUGGAUGAUGGUUUCUAUUCUGUCUAUCUGGUGGCAGAGAAAAUGUUUGUGGUCACAAGGCAGAGGGAUGGUGAGCAGCAUGCCUGGGAGUCUGUUACUGGUGGAUCCUUCAAGUUGUGCUGACCAUGUGAACCCAUUGGUCAGAAUACUAAAGUGAGCCUUCACCUAAAAGAAGACCUGAGAGAAUGCAGAGAGCAGAGGAGGGUCAAGGAAGCUAUGAAGAAACACUCACCAUUCAUUAAGGUCUCCCUUCACCCUCUAUACUUUACCUGUAGCAUGGUUGAUUUCAAGGACAUCUCUGACAACUUGAGAAUUGCUCCAGCAGAGCAAGAUCCUGAACAUCAUCACCAAAAUCAUUGUGAAGAAGAGCCUUGUGCUCCCUUCUGAGUUGGCAGAAGACAAAGAGAAGUAAGAGAAGUUCUAUGAAGCAAUCCCCAAGAA